CCGCACCGCCCCACCUCCGCCACGGCCGCGUCCCGGCCCCGCCUCGCGCCGCUCCGCCCAAAUCCCUUCCCGCCCCUCUCCCUCCGCCGCUGCCUAGCCCCUGCUCUUCCCUCCCAAUCUCUCUCUCUCUCUCUCUCCACUCGCGCCUCCCGUUCUCCCGGCAGAUCCACCGCCGGCUCUUCUUCUCCCAAACGGAUGGAUCCAAAGCCACUUCUCUCGGCCAGAUCCGCCGCCGACGCCAUCCUCAUGCGCGGAUCAGUGUGUUCUUCGCGCGUUGCUACGCCAUCCCCGUCGCCGGCGGACCCUUCACCAGCCGGCUCUUCCUCUCCUGAACAGAUCCAUCGUCGUAACCCCCUUCUCUCAGCCACGUCUGCCGCCGGCGCCAACUCAUGCGCGGAUCCGUGCGCUCGCGGCACUUUGCUCCACUGCCGGGUGACCUUGGUGGCCUUCCUUCCUGCCGGUGCGCAUGCCUCUCCAGCAUGGCCUGCUGCUUCAAAAAUUGUUAUUCGUCAGUGCAUGAAGUCAUCUCUUCUGUACAGCUAUGUGCUCAGCAAUAUCAGUUUUAUUAGUGUUGUUCUCUACAUGAUCAUUUCUGCUAAUACAAUGCUCUAUGUAGGUGGAAUGAGACUGGAAUCAUGCGCCCACUUCAAUUAUCACAUUUUCACGGUCAGUGAGAAUACGAUUUUGAAAUUAUUAGGUAAGCUCUGUCUGAAUAUUGGUGCCUUCCCAAUAUGCACAAGUUGCAGACCUGCAGUUACUUACCUUAUGUCAAUGUAAGUAUACAUCUUUGUAAGUCCAUACCUUCAUUUACUCUGCUUCCUGUGAAACUAAAAAACACAAUAUUAGCUACAUGUGGGUCAUAUAUGCCUUGACUGAUUUCAAACAAUAAAAAAGGAGCAACAUGUUCCAAAUCCUUUCGAAAAGAAUACAUGAGAAGAGCAAAAUCGUUUUAACCCCUUUAAUUGGUAGCACUGAUGUGAAUUACAAAAUUGCCAGUCUUUCGUAUUGCUUGCUUAUGCCUGUUGUGUACAAUUUUAAUUAAUGUUCCCCUUCAAGGUAUAUGUGUUCCUAUCCUAACUCCAGGACUGCCUACAGGGAGGGAAAAGAUGUCUUUCAUUUUUGUCACCUCUAUGUUUUUCUAUUCUUAUAGAACAAUGGUACUCUAUUUUUUUGUUCCUAAAUGGCUAUAUCAGGUUCAGCGAGCAGGUGUAACGCAGCCUGAUUACCUGGGGUGUUCGCUGCAGCUAUACAGCCGACCUGGGCUGCGGCUUUCCCUGUUGGGGCGCUAUAUUUUACCGUAGAAAUAGAUACAUCCUUGGUAAAAGCGCUGCAAAGUAGCACAAGCGAACACCCCCGUUCAAUGCUACGUUUUUCAUGACCAUUAAAAUUUGUGGUGUGUACGUACAAUGAUCUGUCCAAUCCCACCUGACAACGAUAUCUUCAAUUCUACAUUGCUGAUGACAAUUAAAAUUUUUGGUCUGUAGGUAUAGACAUCCACAUGAUGAAGAUAUCUAAAUUUGGGUAUUUGUGAGGAUAUUUUGGCCUGCAGUUUUAUGAACAUCCCCCUCAUAUACUUAUGCUGCUGAUAAUUGCACUCCACUGGAUGCUCACAUUCCAGUUCACCGACCACGUGGUGUGGAUGCUUAGCCAACCCAACGAGGCUGGAGAGCUCAGCAUCACGGUGAGCCUGUAAUCUCUGGUUGUGAACGAUUUUACACGUUGUGAAAGAUAAAACGAACUAUUUCAUGUCAAACCAGCUGAGUUUCCUAUCGUGGCUCCUAUGUCAAAUCUGCGACAUCACUUUGCAUGAAAUUGACAUUUUUCUCAUUCCAAGUGUUGGCGCUUAUGUCAAAAACAACCAUCCUGCUUAUAUUCCAUCACAAAUUUAACAUAAGGUGAUACAAUUAUGCAUGGUGGUUCCUCAGCCAAAUUAAAGCUGCAGAGAGGAUGUUUUUGCAGUUGGUAUGAGGAUGGAAGACAAACUGACGAGCAUGUAAAGACAUUUGUGUUCAGCACAUGCAGAGGUUCCUUCUAUUGCCGUAUUUCAUCUCCUCUUGCGUACCUCAAAAUGCCCCUGUCAAAUAGCCAGGAUUCAGGGUGCAUCAUCGGUAUUCGUAGCUAAUUAUGAACAUCCAACACAGGUUACAUAGUCUUCCUACAUGAGCCCCUGCAGUCUUGCACCAUCUGUGUCCAAUGUUAGAUGUAGCUGUGCAUUGCAUAGCUUCUUAAUUUUGGUUCGUUUAAUACAUGUGAAUCAAAAUGUGAAGACACAUGUGAAAUUUCUAUGUUUCCACGUUUAUGUACGGUUAAUCUGGUGAUUUGCAAUGUAUACUGUAUUUCAUACAAAGAUUGUAGUGCUUAUUCCUAUAUAGAAUAAAAUGAUUGAAUUAAUUCACUUU